GGUAAAAUGGCUGAGUUUUAGGCAAUAAAUUGUAAAUUUAUAGACGAAAUCUAAUUUCUUUUACCA
rnacentral:tRNA from 1 species